CUAAGCUGCUCCGUUUAAGGUCUUGUUGCUGGUGGACACCCAAUGGUACAAAAUCAAAUGCAAGGCUUCCAGAAAACUGAAACUGAGGGGCCGAACCUGGUAAAAGGAAUCUCCCAAUACAACUACAUACUGAUGGAGCAACAAACUUGGUGCAAUUUGCGAUGACUGGAAUUCUCGACGCCGCCCCCGGGGCUGUGCUGUGCAUGAACUUCUGCAUUUCAAAAAAUAAUAUUAUUUAAAGGCAUUGCUUAAUGCAGAAAAAGUAAGCGAAGUAUAUCGCUGUGACUAUGUGUUUUUUAAUAUUGUGAACAUAAAAUAUAUGAUAGUUUAAAUUUAA